rnacentral:rRNA from 1 species
GACGAACGCUGGCGGCGUGCCUAAUACAUGCAAGUCGAACGAAGCUGUUUUAACUGGUGCUUGCACCGACUUAAACAACUGAGUGGCGAACGGGUGAGUAACACGUGGGUAACCUGCCCCAAAGCGGGGGAUAACAUUUGGAAACAGAUGCUAAUACCGCAUAACCACAGAAACCACAUGGUUUCUGUGUCAAAGAUGGUUUCGGCUAUCACUUUGGGAUGGACCCGCGGCGUAUUAGCUAGUUGGUAAGGUAAUGGCUUACCAAGGCAAUGAUACGUGGCCGAACUGAGAGGUUGAUCGGCCACAUUGGGACUGAGACACGGCCCAAACUCCUACGGGAGGCAGCAGUAGGGAAUCUUCCACAAUGGACGAAAGUCUGAUGGAGCAACGCCGCGUGAGUGAAGAAGGUUUUCGGAUCGUAAAACUCUGUUGUCAGAGAAGAACGUGUGCGAGAGUAACUGUUCGUGCAGUGACGGUAUCUGGCCAGAAAGCCACGGCUAACUACGUGCCAGCAGCAGCCGCCG